rnacentral:rRNA from 1 species
UACGAAGGGGGCUAGCGUUGCUCGGAUUGACUGGGCGUAAAGCGCACGUAGGCGGAUCGUUAAGUCGGGGGUGAAAUCCUGGAGCUCAACUCCAGAACUGCCUUCGAUACUGGCGAUCUUGAGUCCGGAAGAGGUGAGUGGAACUCCUAGUGUAGAGGUGGAAUUCGUAGAUAUUAGGAAGAACACCAGUGGCGAAGGCGGCUCACUGGUCCGGUACUGACGCUGAGGUGCGAAAGCGUGGGGAGCAAACAGG